rnacentral:lncRNA from 1 species
AGUUUAAUAACGACAAUUUCCUCUAAAUGAGUUUAAUAACUCACAAGAUCCAUUCGAGAAAACCCAUGAAAUUCAUGUCCGAAUGAUUAAACAAUGAAAAGGAUUAACAGUCACACCUUCCAAUAGCGAGCAAAUCUCGGAUUUGAACACAAAAUCUAGCAUUUCGUAGUUUUAAUAUUUAAGGAAAAUUAGCGGGAAGAAUUAGGCGAAAGGAGAUAGAAGAAUGGAGAAAAGGUGAAGCUUUUUUACAAAGAUUUAAGAUUCAGGAGAGUAAAAGAGAUUAUAAAUCGGUGCUUGUACAGGGGAAGUGAAUUUUUUUCUCUCGCUUCUGGUUUUUAGAAUUUAGAUGAUUAGCCGGUUAGGUCAAUGAGAGGAAGAAGGAGAACGGCUGAGCUGAUAAAGCAAAUUAGCUAGGGUUUUUUGUUUUAUUAGAUAGAUAUUGGGCUUUAACAAUUUUGGGACAGCCCGUAUAGUUUACACAAAUAACAUUAAACAUAUUUCCCAUUAAGAAGCCCAAAAUAGCGUAGAAUAACUGAAACGCAACUAACCCUAGCGUUUUGUUUAUCUUUCUUCUUUACUCCAUCGCCUUUUUCCAGCGUAUCCAUGGCGGCUCCCCAAACCCAUCCUCGUUUCUUCAGCUUAUUUAUGGCGGAUUGUCGAUGAUAGGUGGUGGUUGUAAGAGAACCGAAGAACCGUUCGGUUAUGGCUUACCGAACCGAACCGAAUUGAUAACCGAAAUCUCUGAAUAUUUUUGCCGAUCGGUUCAGCCUUCCUCUUAGCUUCGGCGCCGAUAACCGAAAAACUCGGUUUAUUCGGUUCGGUUUUUUCGGUUAAUGCCGAACGCCCAGGCCUAGAUGUUUUGAUUUCCGCGACUGUAAAAAGAACAUGCCCACUUAAACAACUCGGAAAUGUGUCAUUCAAUUUUGUUUACUAUAACAAA